rnacentral:rRNA from 1 species
UACGUAGGGGCCUAGCGUUGUCCGGAAUUAUUGGGCGUAAAGAGCUCGUAGGCGGUUCGGCAAGUCGGAUGUGAAAUCUCCACGCUUAACGUGGAGGGGCCAUUCGAAACUGCUGUGACUCGAGUCCGGUAGGGGAGUGUGGAAUUCCCGGUGUAGCGGUGAAAUGCGUAGAUAUGUGGAGGAACACCGGUGGCGAAGGCGGCGUCCUGGACCAACACUGACACUGAUGAGCGAAAGCCAGGGGAGCAAACAGG